rnacentral:sRNA from 1 species
UUUUAGCCCCGAUUAAAGUGAAAAUCCUUAUGGGCGUUUUUCAGCGCAUAAGAUUGAAACGGAAAGCGGGAAAUAGC